UUUAUUGACGAUUAUUCCAGAUACUACACAACUUAUAUUUUAAAGGACAAAUCAGAAACUGUAGAAAAAUUGAAGAUGCUUGUUGCAAGCAUUAAAAAUCAAUUCAGAAGGAAGCCACAAGCAAUACUUUCAGACAGCGGUGAUGUUAAACAUUUGCACACUACCCCAUUUACCCCAGAACAAAGUGGAAUAGCAGAGAGAAAGAAUUGCUCUCUGAUGGAGAUGGUCAGAUGUAUGCAGAACAGACUGCCAACAAAAGCUGCAAAUAAAGCAGCAUUUGAACAUUGGUUUGGAAGAGUACUGAACAUCAGUCACAUUAGAGUCUUUGGAACAAAAGCUUUUGCAUAUGUGCCAGCACAAAGACAUACCAAACUUAGCACCAGGACUGAGUUAGGAAUAUUUGUCGGCUUUGAGAAGGGGUGCAAAGGUUACAUAAUUCUUAAUCCAAGGACAGGAGAAGUGAAAGUGAGUAGUGUAUUUUAGAGAAGGAGAGCAAUCUUGUGCAUGUGUUCCUAAUCAGAACAAUUUUAAAGAGAAACAGACUAAUGCUGAUUUGGUAACUGAAGAGGUUCCAGUAAAACUGAUCACAGAAGUUGAAAGAACAGAGAAAACUAGUCCAAGUAAGAUACCAUACUUUACCAGGGGAAACAGAGUCAGGACAAGAAGCUGCGUGUGAUGAUAUGGAUGAACAAUUAGAACCUUUAAUCAGACACUCAUCAUGAGUUAACAAAGGUGUGCCAGCAGAGCAACUAUCAUACAUCACAAAAGCAGUGCCUGUGUCGACCACAGCAAACUAUGGCAAGUUCUUAAAGAAAUAGGAGUGCCUGAUCACCUCAUCUGUCUCCUGAGAAAUCUCUAUGUGGGACAAGAAGCUACAGUUAGAACUGGAUAUGGAACAACUGGUUGGUUCAAAAUUGGGAAAGGAGUACGACAAGGCUGUAUAUUGUCUCCCUGCAUAUUUAACUUAUAUGCAGAAUUCAUCAUGUGAAAGGCUGGGCUGGAUGAAUCCCUAGCCGGAAUUAAGAUUACUGGAAGAAAUAUCAACAACCUCAGAUAUGCAGAUGACACAACCUUGAUGGCAGAAAGUGAGGAGGAAUUAAAGAACCUUUUAUUGAGGGUGAAAGAGGAGAGCGCAAAAUAUGGUCUGAAGCUCAACAUCAAAAAAACGAAGAUCAUGGCCACUGGUCCCAUCACCUCCUGGCAAAUAGAAGGGGAAGAAAUGGAGGCAGUGAGAGAUUUUACUUUCUUGGGCUCCGUGAUCACUGCAGAUGGUGACAGCAGCCACAAAAUUAAGAGACGCCUGCUUCUUGGGAGAAAAGCAAUGACAAACCUAGACAGCAUCUUAAAAAGUAGAGACAUCACCUUGCCAACAAAGGUCCGUAUAGUAAAAGCUAUGGUUUUUCCAGUAGUGAUGUAUGGAAGUGAGAGCUGGACCAUAAAGAAGGCUGAUCGCCGAAGAACUGAUGCUUUUGAAUUAUGGUGCUGGAGGAGACUCUUGAGAGUCCCAUGGACUGCAAGAAGAUCAAACCUCUCCAUUCUGAAGGAAAUCAGCCCUGAGUGCUCACUGGAAGGACAGAUCGUGAAGCUGAGGCUCCAAUACUUUGGCCACCUCAUGAGAAGAGAAGACGCCCUGGAAAAGACCCUGAUGUUGGGAAAGAUGGAGGGCACAAGGAGAAGGGGACGACAGAGGACGAGAUGGUUGGAUAGUGUCUUCGAAGCUACCAGCAUGAGUUUAACCAAACUGCAGGAGACAGUGGAAGACAGAAGUGCCUGGCGUGCUCUGGUCCAUGGGGUCACGAAGAGUCAGACAUGACUAAACGACUAAACAACAACAACAAUGGUGAACCUGACACAUGGAAAGAAAUUGACAAACUUCCUGCAGAAGAAGCUGAUAAGUUGAUAGAAGCAGACAAGGAAGAAAUUGAGCGUUGAAUAAAACAACACUUGGACACUUACUAAAUUGCCAAAGGGUAAAAAGGCUAUAGGGUGCAAAUGGGUGUUUAAGGAAAAGUUAAAUGAGAAUGGAAAUGUACAAAGUAUAAAGCAAGGCUAGUAGCAAAGGAUAGACACAAAAAUAUGUUGAAGAUUAUGAUGAGACAUUCACGCCUGUAGUUAAAUAUACUACAAUUAGAAUUUUACUUAGUGUUGCAGCAUCCAAGCAACUUGUGUUGAACAACUGGAUGUAAAGUCUGCUUUCUUAAAUUGGGAAAUUGAAGAGGAAUUGUAUAUGAUUCAGCCAGAAAGAUUUGAAAGAGAUGAAGGGCUGGUUUGUAAACUGCGGAAGGGAAUGUAUGGUUUAGAAAAGGCUGAGAGAGCAUGGAAUGAAAAGUUAAAUAAUCUGCUUUUAAAAUGAGGUUUUUUAGAAAGUAAAGUAGAUCCAUGUCUCUAUACAAGGCAAUGAAUUGAAAAAAGAAUUAUUUUGCUUGUAUAUUUAGAUGAUAUAAUUUUGGUUACUGAAAACAAACAAGAAUAUACAAGAAUUGAACUUCUGGCUUUUUCUACUAAGAGCAACACCCAGAUGCGCAGAUGUGAGUUGUGUUCCCUUCUGGGUGCGAAUGGGGCUCCAGAAUGGAUCCCGUUUGCAUCCAGAGGUACCACUGUAGAAAUUAAAAGACUAGGAAACGUAUCUUAUUUUGGGGGCAUGCAAGAAGAGAGGGAGGAAGAUGGUAGUUUUCUUCUUAAUCAAAGGCAGAAAAUAAUUGACUUAAUAUAAUUUUUCGGUUUGAAAGAAGAACAUUCUGUGUCAACUCCAAUGUACUAAUUUUCUUUCAGGAGAGGUUGAGUGUGAAUAUUUAUGUAAUAAUGAAUUGUGCAGAACUGUAAUAGGUAAAUUAUUUGUAGCUACUACAAGUAGGCUUGAUAUUGCCUCAGCAAUGGGUAUACUAUGCAGAAAGGUGAGUUCACCUACCCAAAGAGACUGGACUGCAUUGAAAAGUAAGAUAUUUAAAGGGAAAGGUUGAUCUUAAAUUAAAAUUGUCAGCUGCAAAGGAUCCCAAAUUAGUGGGAUACUCAGAUGCAGACUGGGUUGGAGACAAAGAAUGAAGCUGUAAGUUAGGCAAGUCAUAAACAAAGUUCAGUAGCUCACUCUUCAACAAAGCAGGGUAUGUUUCUGCUGCAGAAGUGUGCAAAGAAGCACAAUGGCUUAACCAAAUUUUAGAGGAUUUGGGAAUGCCAGAUUCUAAGCCCUUUAAGCUAAUGGAAUACAAUCAGAUUUAUCUGAAAUCGGUGCAAUCAGAGAAGAUAAAUUGAUGUACCAAACAUAUAGACAUAAAAUGUCAUGCAAUAAGAGAUUUGAGCCAGAAGGGAUUUAUAGAAAUGCAAUAUUGUCCAACAAUAGAAAUGAUAGCUGACAUUUUAACAAAGCCUUUGUCUAAAGAAAGUUUUGAAAAAUUACGUGCUAAAUUAAAUAUGAUUAAUUCAAAUUAGGCUCAGGGAGAGGGGGAUUGUGAGAAAAACACUGGGGCCCAAUUUGAUCAGUAGAAUGUUUGGUAUCUGGUGGGCGGGGCUUGUGUGUUCUGCUCUGGAAUCAGCCCCUCCCUUCAGCGUGUGUUCAGUUAAGAGUGUCAGUUAUGAGGGACCAACUGCCUCUUCUUGUUUCUUGCCUCAGACUUGCCUCAUGUUGUAUUUAGCUUCUCUCAUGUUAUUUUGUUGUAGCUUUAUUUUUUAUUAAAACUUAGUUUAAGGGAGCCACUUAUUUUUCUCAAAGAAAGAGAAACUCUGCUGAAGAAAGGUGUGGAAUAUCCUAAACGUAGGAACUGAUCUUCUAGUCCUAUGCAGAAUGGCAAAGGGAUUUGCUGGCAGGUGACAGAAUACAUCACACUGGAAGAUAAGCAGCUGAAAAGACUCCUAGAUCAGUUGCCAAGGAUCAGUGAAAAGGCAGUCCCUGCGCUCAGGCUCACAGUUUAAAAGGGGAAAUACAC